UACGGGGGAUGCAAGCGUUAUCCGGAAUCAUUGGGCGUAAAGCGCCUGUAGGUUGUUUAGUAAGUCUGUUGUUAAAGGCUAGGGCUUAACCCUAGAAAAGCAAUGGAAACUACUAGACUAGAGUAUGGCAGGGGUAGAGGGAAUUUCUAGUGUAGCGGUGAAAUGCGUAGAUAUUAGAAAGAACACCAGCGGCGAAAGCGCUCUACUGGACCAUUACUGACACUCAGAGGCGAAAGCUAGGGUAGCAAAAGGGAUUAGAUACCCCUGUAGUCCUAGCCGUAAACGAUGGAUACUAGAUGUUGUGCUAAUUGUACAGUAUCGUAGCUAACGCGUUAAGUAUCCCGCCUGGGGAGUACGCUCGCAAGGGUG
rnacentral:rRNA from 1 species